rnacentral:lncRNA from 1 species
UCGCACUCCUUAGGAAUUAUGGAUGCACCAAUACCCAUAUCUCCAAAAUUGUAAGCAGGUAUCCGCUCCUGCUCACUGCCAAUCCUGAGAAGACCCUUCUGCCCAAACUGGAGUUUUUCCGUUCUGUAGGCUUUUCAGGGCCUGACCUUGCCAGUAUCGUCGUUUCAAGCCCAAUUAUCUUGAGAAGGAGCUUGGAAAAUCAUGUUAUUCCUAGUUAUAAUUUUCUUAAGAGUGUAGUUAUGGUCAAUGAAAAUAUUGUGAGGGCUUUCAAGAAGACAUUCUGGAUUUCGGGUCAAAAUGUGCAAAACGCCAUCGCCCCAAAUAUUGCAAUUCUGGAGGAAAUUGGAGUUCCCAUGUCAAAUAUGAAGUUUUUGGUGACAUGUCACCCUAAUGUAGUGUCCCAAAACAGGGAAAAGUUUAGUAGAAGUGUCAAGAAGGUUAUUGAAAUGGGAUUCAAUCCUUUGAGACUUAGCUUUCUGAAAGCAAUCGAAGUCAGCUGUCAAUUGACUGAAUCAAUGUUGGAGCAUAAAAUGGAGGUUUAUAGGCGGUGGGGUCUGACAGAUGAUGAGAUUAUGUCGAUGUUCAGAUUGGAUCCCUUAUGUAUGAAGUCAUCAGAGAAGAAAAUAAUGAGUGUGAUGGAUUUUCUGGUUAAUAAGAUGGGUUGGGAACCUGCUGCUUUUGCUAGAUAUCCAACAGUCUUUUUGUGCAGUUUGGAGAAGAAGUGGUGAAAAUUCUUCAAAUGAAGGGGUUGGUGAAGAAGGAUCUGUGUUUCGGUUUUUUAUACUCCAAUGACAAGAAUUUUUCUGAUAAGUUUGUGCUCAAAUAUGAGCAAGAUGGUCCUGAGCUUUUGAAUGUAUAUCAAGGAAAAAUUGGUAUUUUGGAACUUGGCUUUGUAUCUGAGGGGGUAAAGGAGAAGAAACAGUUGUAGCAUCUCAACUUCACAGUUCCAAAUAAUUAUCCUUUUUGUCAUUUUUCCCAUUCGAAACUUGGUUUGCAGGCAUGUUAACUUCUCUUUGCACUGUUGACAAUAUAAUUGCUUCAACCAGCUUCAGCUGGGGGUUAACUUCGAUUGCUUUUUUUGCCUUUUUUAAGACGAGUCAUAUAGGAUACCUUAAAGUUCAUGCAGAUAUAUGUAUUCUGGGGUGAAAGCUGAAACAAAUGUGUAGACAAUAAGAACUGAUUGUUUUGUAUGGAUGGUCUUUUCAAGAUCAAAUCUCCAUAAUUUGAUUUGUGGAGUGCUUCAGUUUAUCUACAAACCUUUUUUCAGACAUGGGAGGUUGCAAGCUGCAUCAAGACUUACAGAUCAAAAUAGGGUCUAAAGGGCAUGCUUUAUUUUUGGGCAAGCAAUAUUUGGAGUAUUAUAAAUUACUGAAGUAUUAUGAACUUGGCAUCAUUUUCUCCCUUUCAUUAUAUUUGCAGCGAAAUAGUCACCUGAUUUUCUGCAUAACUGGACUGAAGUUGAGUUCCUGUUGAGGGUUGUAGGGGCAUAGCUUUUAGCCUUUUUUUAAAUAAAAGGACAGCUCCAGAGCAUGUGAAAUAUCAAAUAUCCCAACUUUCUAUCUAAUCUCAUUUUCACAUUUUAAAAAAGUUUAAAUGAAAAUUAAUAAAUAAAUAAAUUGAAAAACCCUAAUAAAAAUCGAUGGCAAAAAACCUAAAUCAAAAUCCCCCCAAUGGGAGGGAAAUGAGUUGGAAAAAGAGAAAAAUUAAAUUUUUAGGAAAAUAAAAGAAAAAUAAUAAUGUCUUAAAUGGUCAUUUUCUUAAAGAACCAACAAGGAGGUCAUUCUUAUUUCCUGGAAGUAUUUUAAAUCUUUUGACCAAAUAUCUCUUUCUUUUUUCAGUGUAGAUUGCAAUCUUUGCACGAAGAGAGAUGAGUCCGGGUUCUGUUUGCUUGGAGGGAAAGUGAGUUGGAGAAACAUCUUUAGGCAUGCCGUGGUACAUUUCCAAAUCUACCUAUCUUCUGAUUUAUCGAUUGUUUUCUGCGCCAUUGCUUUUCUGCAACUGAUGCUACAAAUUGGGGCUGAUUGAGUUUCGGAGCUCUACGAUCUUCAGAAUUGGUGAGAGACGCGAACAUCAUCUAGGAAUGGCUACUAGUUUCCUCUGUAAAAGAGUAGUGUCACUAAAAAAUGUGGGGCAAAUGUUUGAAAUUUCAAGGGCCCAAGUGCAUUUUCUUCAAAAUACUAAACCUUUUAGGUUUAGAUCUUUCUCUUCGCCCAAACAACACUCUUUUACAGUGUCGUACCUCAUGAACUCAUGUGGGUUGUCCCCAGAAACUGCUCUAUCUGCGUCACGGAAGGUACAGUUUGAAACUCCAGAAAGAGCAGACUCCGUCCUCGCACUCCUUAGGAAUUAUGGAUGCACCAAUACCCAUAUCUCCAAAAUUGUAAGCAGGUAUCCGCUCCUGCUCACUGCCAAUCCUGAGAAGACCCUUUUGCCCAAACUAGAGUUUUUCCGUUCCGUAGGCUUUUCAGGGCCUGACCUUGCCAGUAUUGUCGCUGCUAGCCCACAGAUCUUGAGAAGGAGCUUGGAAAAUCAUGUUAUUCCUAGUUAUAAUUUCCUCAAGAGCGUAGUUAUGGUCAAUGAAAAUAUUGUGAGGGCUCUCAAUAAGUCAUACUGGCUUAAUGGUCA